rnacentral:rRNA from 1 species
UCAGGACGAACGCUGGCGGCGUGCUUAACACAUGCAAGUCGAACGAUGAAGCCGCUUCGGUGGUGGAUUAGUGGCGAACGGGUGAGUAACACGUGGGUAAUCUGCCCUGCACUCUGGGAUAAGCCUUGGAAACGAGGUCUAAUACCGGAUAUGACACACGGAGGCAUCUCCUGUGUGUGGAAAGUUCCGGCGGUGCAGGAUGAACCCGCGGCCUAUCAGCUUGUUGGUGGGGUAGUGGCCUACCAAGGCGACGACGGGUAGCCGGCCUGAGAGGGUGACCGGCCACACUGGGACUGAGACACGGCCCAGACUCCUACGGGAGGCAGCAGUGGGGAAUCUUGCGCAAUGGGCGAAAGCCUGACGCAGCAACGCCGCGUGGGGGAUGACGGCCUUCGGGUUGUAAACCUCUUUCGACAGGGACGAAGCUUUCGGGUGACGGUACCUGUAGAAGAAGCACCGGCUAACUACGUGCCAGCAGCCGCGGUAAUACGUAGGGUGCGAGCGUUGUCCGGAUUUAUUGGGCGUAAAGAGCUCGUAGGCGGUUUGUCGCGUCGGCCGUGAAAACCUGCAGCUUAACUGUGGGCGUGCGGUCGAUACGGGCAGACUUGAGUUCGGCAGGGGAGACUGGAAUUCCUGGU